GUGGGGUAUAUUCCGCAAUGGACGAAAGUCUGACGGAGCAACGCCGCGUGAGUGAUGAAGGUUUUCGGACUGUAAAGCUCUGUUGUUUAGGACGAAAGUGCCUGUUGCAAAUAGUUACAGGUAUUGACGGUACUGAACGAGGAAGCCACGGCUAACUACGUGCCAGCAGCCGCGGUAAUACGUAGGUGGCAAGCGUUGUCCGGAAUUAUUGGGCGUAAAGAGCAUGUAGGCGGGAAUCUAAGUCUGUUGUGAAAAUGCGGGGCUCAACCCCGUAUUGCGAUGGAAACUGGGUUGCUUGAGUGCAGGAGAGGAAAGGGGAAUUCCCAGUGUAGCGGUGAAAUGCGUAGAUAUUGGGAGGAACACCAGUGGCGAAGGCGCCUUUCUGGACUGUGUCUGACGCUGAGAUGCGAAAGCCAGGGUAGCGAACGGGAUUAGAUACCCGGGUAGUCC
rnacentral:rRNA from 1 species